rnacentral:rRNA from 1 species
UAGGGAAUCUUCGGCAAUGGACGAAAGUCUGACCGAGCAACGCCGCGUGAGUGAAGAAGGUUUUCGGAUCGUAAAACUCUGUUGUUAGAGAAGAACAAGGACGUUAGUAACUGAACGUCCCCUGACGGUAUCUAACCAGAAAGCCACGGCUAACUACGUGCCAGCAGCCGCGGUAAUACGUAGGUGGCAAGCGUUGUCCGGAAUUAUUGGGCGUAAAGCGCACGCAGGCGGUUGAUUGAGUCAGAUGUGAAAUCCCCGGGCUUAACCCGGGAAUUGCAUCUGAUACUGGUCAGCUAGAGUCUUGUAGAGGGGGGUAGAGUUCCAGGUGUAGCGGUGAAAUGCGUAGAGAUCUGGAGGAGUACCGGUGGCGAAGGCGGCCCCCUGGACAAAGACUGACGCUCAGGUGGGAAGGCGUGGGGAGCAAACAGG